AUUGAACGCUGGCGGCAGGCUUAACACAUGCAAGUCGAGCGAGUGGCGGACGGGUGAGUAAUGUCUGGGAAACUGCCUGAUGGAGGGGGAUAACUACUGGAAACGGUAGCUAAUACCGCAUACCAUCCUAUGUUCCCAGAUGGGCUUAGCUAGUAGGUGGGGUAACGGCUCACCUAGGCGACGAUCCCUAGCUGGUCUGAGAGGAUGACCAGCCACACUGGAACUGAGACACGGUCCAGACUCCUACGGGAGGCAGCAGUGGGGAAUAUUGCACAAUGGGCGCAAGCCUGAUGCAGCCAUGCCGCGUGUAUGAAGAAGGCCUUCGGGUUGUAAAGUACUUUCAGCGAGGAGGCGUUACUCGCAGAAGAAGCACCGGCUAACUCCGUGCCAGCAGCCGCGGUAAUUC
rnacentral:rRNA from 1 species